AUCCAACAUCGAGGUCGCAAACCUUCUUAUAAAUGAGAACUCCCCAAGAAGAUUACGCUGUUAUCCCUAAGGUAAUUUAUUCUUAUAAUCUAAAAUUCAGGAUCAAAUUUUCAUAAAACAAUGAAAAAUAUAAAAAUAUAGUAUAUCAAAUAUAAUAGUCGCCCCAACUAAAUUAACCUUAUAAGAUAUAAAAUUAAAAAUAAAAACUAUAUCUUAUAAGGUUAAUUAAAUUCUAUAGGGUCUUAUCGUCCCAUAAAUUCAUUUUAGCUUUUUAACCAAAAAAUAAAAUUCAAUAAAAUUAAAAUAAGAAAGUUACUCUCUCGUUCAACCUUUCAUUCUAGACCUCAUUUAAAGGACAAAUUAUUAUGCUACCUUUGCACGAUAAAAUCGCGGCCAUUUAACUUUUAAUCAUAGGGCAGGUUAUAUUUUUUAUAAAAACAAAAAAAAAUGUUUUUAUUAAACAGUCGGAAAGUUUAUUUGCCGAAUUCCUAAAUUUAAUUAUUAAAUUUACUAAUUUUAUCAUUGUUACCUUUAAACUUUAGUUAAAUAAAAAACUUCCUUAAAAUUUUAAAUUAAAUAAAAUAAAUAAAUUAAAAAUUAUUUUUAUAAAAAUAUAAUAAAAGAAAAUACUAAUCCUAAAUAAAUUUUUAAAUAUAAUCAUAAAUUUUAAAAUUAAUUAAAAGCUUAUCCCUUUAAUUAUUUAAAUUAUCUAUAAUAUAAAUUAAUUUAUAUUAAAAAUAAAUAAUUUUUGAAUUAAAUUCAAUUCAAGAAAAACCAGAUAUAUUUAAAUUGAAAAGCAUUUAACCACUACAUUUAUAUUAAAUAUUAAUAUAAAAUUUAAACAAAAAUAUAAAUGUAAAUCUUUAAAUUUCGGGAAAUUUACAUAUGUAAAUUUAAAUU
rnacentral:rRNA from 1 species